AGUGAACGCUGGCGGUAGGCCUAACACAUGCAAGUCGAACGGCAGCACAGUAAGCGCUUGCUCUUACGGGUGGCGAGUGGCGGACGGGUGAGGAAUACAUCGGAAUCUACUUUUUCGUGGGGGAUAACGUAGGGAAACUUACGCUAAUACCGCAUACGACCUACGGGUGAAAGCAGGGGAUCUUCGGACCUUGCGCGAUUGAAUGAGCCGAUGUCGGAUUAGCUAGUUGGCGGGGUAAAGGCACACCAAGGCGACGAUCCGUAGCUGAUCUGAGAGGAUGAUCAGCCACACUGGAACUGAGACACGGUCCAGACUCCUACGGGAGGCAGCAGUGGGGAAUAUUGGACAAUGGGCGCAAGCCUGAUCCAGCCAUACCGCGUGGGUGAAGAAGGCCUUCGGGUUGUAAAGCCCUUUUGUUGGGAAAGAAAAGCAGCAGGUUAAUACCCCGCUGUUCUGACGGUACCCAAAGAAUAAGCACCGGCUAACUUCGUG
rnacentral:rRNA from 1 species